ACUCACCUACGGGGGGCAGCAGUGGGGAAUAUUGCACAAUGGGGGGAACCCUGAUGCAGCGACGCCGCGUGGGUGAGGAAGUACUUCGGUAUGUAAAGCCCUAUCAGCAGGGAAGAAAAUGACGGUACCUGACUAAGAAGCCCCGGCUAACUACGUGCCAGCAGCCGCGGUAAUACGUAGGGGGCAAGCGUUAUCCGGAUUUACUGGGUGUAAAGGGAGCGUAGACGGAGAAGCGAGUCUGAAGUGAAAGCCCGUGGCUUAACCACGGGACUGCUUUGGAAACUGUUUGACUAGAGUGCUGGAGG
rnacentral:rRNA from 1 species